rnacentral:tRNA from 1 species
ACUCUUUUAGUUUAUUUUAAAAAAUAUAGCUCUGAAGAAGCUAAGAAAGUUUAGGAGUG